rnacentral:lncRNA from 1 species
GCUCUGCAUGCAGGAGUCUGAGUCCUUGGGAACAGCCCUUCCUCUGGUUCCAGUUUCCUUUGGGUCAUAAUUGCCUAUCGUUAUAGUUAUAUUAUUAGCACAGCACAAAAUUCUAGAGGACAGAGAAAAUCUAAAAGUCACAGCCCAGUAACAAACUUUUGGGGGUCUCGUCCCCCACCCGCAUCUUUUCCGCUCUGUGCGAGCCUUGUGUAUCCAUCCACUGAGUUUACCGAGCAAUUCCUGCAGGCAAAGGGACGCUGUGCUCUCUCCUGCUGUGGCUGUCACUGAGGUCGAUGCACUCUUUUCUCCAUUCUCCCAAGAAGUCUUUCUAGCAUUAAGACAGCAGCCUGAGCAGCGACUUGGCCUCACACGGGUCUGAUCUGAAGCCACCACCAAGAAGAUCUCUCCGUGUCCACAGAGGACCUGGACCCCGGGCCCCACAGCAGCCAGACAGAGUGACAGCGACAGCAGAUUCAGAUUCCUUGGCCGCAACAGAAACUCGGAGUCCCGAGCCAGGAGCCUCUGCAGAGCAGCAGCGGUUAGGAUCUCACUGCAGACUCAGGAGUGCAGGGCCUGGCCCGGCCCAGCCUCACAAGGUCAGAACCCCACAUCCUCCCUGCUGCGAGGGAGAGAGAGGGCUCAUUUGCCUGGAUGACGCAC